GGGCCUCUACCAGUUGGUAGAGCAGCGGACUUUUAAUCCGUAGGUCGUGGGUUCGAGCCCCACGGGGCCCAC
rnacentral:tRNA from 1 species